rnacentral:rRNA from 1 species
CGUAGGGUGCAGGCGUUAAUCGGAAUUACUGGGCGUAAAGCGUGCGCAGGCGGUCUUUUAAGUCAGAUGUGAAAUCCCCGGGCUUAACCUGGGAACUGCGUUUGAAACUGGAAGGCUUGAGUGUGGCAGAGGGGGUGGAAUUCCACGUGUAGCAGUGAAAUGCGUAGAGAUGUGGAGGAACACCGAUGGCGGAGGCAGCCCCCUCGGGCUAACACUGACGCUCAUGCACGAAAGCGUGGGGAGCAAACAGGAUUAGAUACCCUGGUAGUCCACGCCCUAAACUAUGUCAACUGGUUGUCGGGAAGCAAUUCCUUAGUAACGAAGCUAACGCGUGAAGUUGACCGCCUGGGGAGUACGGCCGCAAGGUUA